GAGCCAGGUUGGCCCUGUUAAGGGGUUCUCCUGGGAGUCCAGACCAGGCUGCAGUGGGCGGUGGUGCUCCUGGGAGUCCAGGCCAGGCUGCGGUGGGAAGGGGUUCUCCUGGGAGUCCAGGCCUGGCUGCGGUGGGAAGGGGUUCGCCUGGGAGUCCAGGCCUGGCCGCUAUGUAUGGGGGUUCUCCUGGGAGUCCAGGCCAGGCUGCGGUGGGAAAGGGUUCGCCUGGGAGUCCAGGUCUGGCCGCUAUGUAUGGGGGUUCUCCUGGGAGUCCAGGCCAGGCUGCGGUGGGAAGGAUUUCUCCUGGGAGUCCAGGUCUGGCCACUAUAUAUGGGGGUUCUCCUGGGAGUCCAGGCCUGGCCGCUAUGUAUGGGGGUUCUCCUGGGAGUCCAGGCCAGGCUGCGGUGGGAAGGGGUUCUCCUGGGAGUCCAGGCCAGGCUGCGGUGGGAAGGGGUUCUCCUGGGAGUCCAGGCCAGGCUGUGGUGGGCGGGGCUUCUCCUGGGGGUCCUGGCAGGGCUGCAGGGGGUAAUAGUGAUUUCUUGUCCUUCAGCCUGGACAGCUGAAGCUCCUUUAUCUUGUCCUUCCAUAACUGCACCUUUUGCUGGAGUUUCAGGACCUUCAGGGCACUGGCUGAGUAAUCAGGGAAAAUCCGAGCCAGGUCCUUCCGUAAAGAUUCCUGGAACUCAGGCCGAAUCUCCUUGACUUUCCCCAGGGCCACCAGGUCGGGGGCGCCAGGCUGAAUGGAUGGCCUGGCGAGGGCCGGAAACUCGGGCAGCAGGAGGCUCCCUCUAGGGGGGAGUUCCUGGAGGCUCCCUCUGGGGUGGAGUUCCUGGAAUUCAGGCCCAAUCUCCUUGACUUUCUCUGGGGCUACCAGAUCGGGGGCUCCAGGCUGAAUGGAUGGCCUGGCGAGGGCUGGAAACUCAGGCAACAGGAGGCUCCCUCUGGGGCGGAGUUCCUGGAAGCUCUCUCUGGGGCGGAGUUCCUGGAACUCAGGCCCAAUCUCCUUGACUUUCCCUGGGGCUACCAGAUCGGGGGCUCCAGGCUGAAUGGAUGGCCUGGCGAGGGCAGGAAACUCGGGUAGCAGGAGGCUCCCUCUGGGGCGGAGUUCCUGGAAGCUCUCUCUGGGGCGGAGUUCCUCUCUAGGGUAGUCUGUCUGUGGGGGGAUUACUUCCACUGUGGGCAUGCCAUAGGCAACAGACGUAGAGACUACUUGGGGAGCCUUUAGGGACUCCAAUUGCGAGGCAAGGGUCUCCAGAUGGGCCGUUUCCACCCACUCCAUCUGCUUCAGUGGGGAUGUCUGCUCCAGCAGCCAGCAAAGGCUGUCCAUGGUUUUUUUGGUGAUUGUCCCUUUUUGGCGAAGCUUCCGCAGGGCAUUCUGUAAUCGGUCCCAGCCUCCUCUAGGGAGCUUGUGCAUGAAUUCACUGUAUGUAGGAGGCAAGCUUCUAUCCCGUCGGGCCAUGGCCCCCUUGAAGGCCCUGAUACUCUGAUGAAUCCGCAGAAACCACCUCCAGCGUUCUUGGGCUGACUUUUUUGGGGAAGCCACAGUGUCCGGUCCCAUGACUUCCCAGGUGGGACUCUCUGGACGCCCUUCAGAUGGAGUUGGGGUUGGGGUUGGGGCAACUGGCUCCUUUGGCGUGAGUGGAAACCUCUGGGCGGUGGGGAGGGGUGGAGGUCUGGGCUUGUACUUGGAUUUGGCCAAAGACAAUAACUUCUCCUCUUGAGAAUCACUGGGCAUGGGGGAGAUCACAGCUUGCUUACGUCUAAGUUCUGAAGUAGAUUCCAGGUAAGGCUUUUGGGGACGAAAUGAUUUCCCUUCAAUUUUCAACUCGACCUGUUUCAUAUCAUCUUUCCUCGGUAUCAUGGCAGGCUUCAGAUCUACCUUUUGAACAUCAAGGUCCUUUGGCUGGACCAGUCCCGCAGGGGAAAUGAUCUUCUCUGCAGGCUCUCUUACCCUUUCCACACCAAGGCCCCUUAACUGGAUCAAUCCCUCAGGGGAAAUGACCGUCCCUGCAGGCUCUCCCACCCUUUCCACACCAAGCUCCCUUGGUUGGACCAAUCCCUCAGGGGAAAUGAUCUUUCCAGGAGGCUCUCCCACCCUUUCAACACCAAGGUCCUUUGGUUGGACCAGUCCCUCAGAGGAAAUGAUCUUUCCUGGAGGCUCUCCCACCCUUUCAACACCAAGCUCCCUUGGUUGGACCAAUCCCUCAGGGGAAAUGAUUUUCAGGAGGCUCUCCCACCCUUUCCACACCAAG
ensembl:lncRNA